UCUCUGCUCGGGUGCCUGAGCGCUGAGGACACACCAGUAGGAGGAGGCAGCAUAAACUCUCAAAGCGAGAGUCCACAGUGGUUCCCAGUCUCCUCUUUGGAUACCCGGGCACUGCCAACAAAUGGCAGGAAGAAGGAUUCAAGAACCCUUUAUCCUGGGACAUCUCUACACUGGGCAGAAAGGGGAGGCAGAGCCCAGUAUGAGUGGAAUCCAGUCUGAUCAGAGCUUGACAGGAUCAAGAGGAAGCUAGGAGACAAACCUCCAGACACGCCUGCGAGGGAUUAUCUAGAAGAAAAUAAUUGAAGCAGGAAGACCUGCCUUAACUGUGGGUGGCACCAUUCCUUGGGGUGAGGUCCUGGAUUGAGGACAAAGUAGAAAGUAUGUUGUCACAACGAGGAAACGAGAAAUGUCUUGGUCAGAGUAUUUGAAGCAGGAAGACCCAGGACGCAGGACUGCCCUUCUCUUGGCAGUCUACAUAAAAGGACACGGAUGAAGGAAGCAUUGCUCUUUGCUUCACACUUGCUGAUGAGUUGAGCUGGAAAGAUCCUGUUGCUGUGGCAUUCCUUGACCGAUAUUAGAACUUACUUCCUCAGGAUUCCAAGGUAGAUUGAAGACCAGCAUCUCCCCAGGAAUCCUCCAGGCCUUCAGUGCCAUUUUGAGACUACUGGGACAUUCAGCCUCAUGAUUCUUUGUGUCUCAAUAAUAAACCCCCUUUAACAUA